GUGGUUGACGCUAACUCGCAACAUACCAAGACCGAGGCAGGCAUGACUCUUACCAAUCAUUAAAGGGACAAUGUCAUCCACCAAACAUGUUUCUUGGUGUUUUCAUCCCUAUACACUGCUUUCCUCUUUACCCAAAUCACUAGUCUUGGCUGUAUUUAUUGAAGGACUGAUCAUCAAGUCUUUGGACCAUGCAUCAGCAAAGAGCAAGCAAUACCAAAGGAUAAACACCGAAUUAAAGUCACCGUGUCUUAGGACUGGCUAUGUAACUGGCUGUCAAACAUCUGGCAAAACACUAUAAUUCAGUGCUUAGUGAGUAAAACCCUCA